UUGAGAGCAGGUAGGCUAUAGAACUUUCCGAAUUCACCACCUCCAGGCUUUGGAAGAGCAGUGAGGAUUUCCUUAAAUGGGUUCUUUUCAGCUGAAUCCAUCAUCAACACAAAAAAGAAUCAGAUUCUUCUUGCUUUUCUACUGAGAAUUGAUUCGCAUUCACUUACAGCAGCUCUUAGUAGCACUAUUACGCAUAAAUAAAUAGUAGUUUUUUUAUGUUUUUUUAAUGAAAAUACCUAACCACAAACACAAAUGAUAAAUAUCUUAAGUCAACUUCAAAAGUCUUCCCAUUCAUCGACCCUACCACCCACGUUCCACUAACCUUUGUCACAAUGUGUAUUACUCCUAUUAUUUAUUACUACUAAAAAUAGGAUUAAAGUUUUGUGCACUAACAAUGUAAAAUAUAUUUAUUCUAUUUAAUAACUUGUUAUAAUAGGCUAAAUUAUAAUUUUACAUGUCAAUAUAAGAAAGCAUAUUCUUUCGAUUUACUUUUUCAGAUUGACAAAAUUACCCAGAAAACAAAUCUAGGAUUAAAAGACAAAAGUACCCAUGGUAGAGAGCUUUCGGUGGAAGCUGUUGAGAGCAGGGGCGGCGGUCCUGAUCUGAGCAGUAAGACUGAUCGGAGACUUCCAAUCAAUACCGUGGCUCCACCGCGGCACCGAGCACCUCACAGACCGGAACGUGGAGGAGAAACGCUGCUGCUGAUUACAGAGUGAAGAAGACGAAGGCGCGUGAGCAGCAGCAGAAGAGGAAGCUACUGGUCUAGAAACGGAAGAAGAAGAGGCUCUUCUCAAGAGUGAAGAAGCGGCAGAAGAAGAGUAUUUGCGAGCGGUAUUACUAUACAUGACUCUCUUUAUGUCUUUAUAUAUAACACCAAAAUUUCAGAUCACAACCAUUCAAACAAUUAUGAUGUGUAUUUCCUAGGGUUGUGUGCCGAAUUUCUAGAAGAAAAAAACAAAACAGAGAUGAAGAUGAAGAUGAUAGUGACGAAGAAGAUAACAGAGAAACAGAAGGAAGAUAUGGGGAUGGAUUUAUGAAUUGAGAAUUGGGGAAUGAUUGAGAGAGAGAGAGAGAAGAGGAGAUUAUUCAAAUGCUAAGCAGUGCCUAAGCUGCGGCACAACACAUGGAGCUGAAAAAGCUGGGCUGGUUCGCGUUAUGGUAUUUUUUUCGUUCUUAUAAGGAGAAGAGAAUGGCA
rnacentral:lncRNA from 1 species